AGAGUUUGAUCAUGGCUCAGAUUGAACGCUGGCGGCAGGCCUAACACAUGCAAGUCGAGCGGAAACGAUGGUAGCUUGCUACCAGGCGUCGAGCGGCGGACGGGUGAGUAACGCGUGAGAAUCUGCCCAUUUGUGGGGGAUAACUCGGGGAAACUCGAGCUAAUACCGCAUAAUCCCUACGGGGGAAAGCAGGGGACCUUCGGGCCUUGUGCAGAUGGAUGAGCUCGCGUCGGAUUAGCUUGUUGGUGAGGUAAAGGCUCACCAAGGCGACGAUCCGUAGCUGGUCUGAGAGGAUGAUCAGCCACACCGGGACUGAGACACGGCCCGGACUCCUACGGGAGGCAGCAGUGGGGAAUCUUGGACAAUGGGGGCAACCCUGAUCCAGCCAUGCCGCGUGUGUGAAGAAGGCCUUCGGGUUGUAAAGCACUUUCAGUAGGGAGGAAGGCUUACCGCUAAUAACGGUGAGUACUUGACGUUACCUACAGAAGAAGCACCGGCUAAUUUCGUGCCAGCAGCCGCGGUAAUACGAAAGGUGCGAGCGUUAAUCGGAAUUACUGGGCGUAAAGCGCGCGUAGGCGGUUUGUUAAGUCAGAUGUGAAAGCCCCGGGCUCAACCUGGGAAUUGCAUUUGAAACUGGCAGGCUAGAGUGCAGUAGAGGGAGGUGGAAUUUCCGGUGUAGCGGUGAAAUGCGUAGAGAUCGGAAGGAACACCAGUGGCGAAGGCGGCCUCCUGGACUGACACUGACGCUGAGGUGCGAAAGC
rnacentral:rRNA from 1 species